rnacentral:rRNA from 1 species
AUUGAACGCUGGCGGCAGGCCUAACACAUGCCAGUCGAGCGGAUGAAGGGAGCUUGCUCCUGGAUUCAGCGGCGGACGGGUGAGUAAUGCCUAGGAAUCUGCCUGGUAGUGGGGGAUAACGUCCGGAAACGGGCGCUAAUACCGCAUACGUCCUGAGGGAGAAAGUGGGGGAUCUUCGGACCUCACGCUGUCAGAUGAGCCUAGGUCGGAUUAGCUAGUUGGUGGGGUAAAGGCCUACCAAGGCGACGAUCCGUAACUGGUCUGAGAGGAUGAUCAGUCACACUGGAACUGAGACACGGUCCAGACUCCUACGGGAGGCAGCAGUGGGGAAUAUUGGACAAUGGGCGAAAGCCUGAUCCAGCCGUGCCGCGUGUGUGAAGAAGGUCUUCGGAUUGUAAAGCACUUUAAGUUGGGAGGAAGGGCAGUAAGUUAAUACCUUGCUGUUUUGACGUUACCAACAGAAUAAGCACCGGCUAACUUCGUG